rnacentral:lncRNA from 1 species
ACCUCAUGAGGAAGUGGCUCCAAGCAUCUUUGAGGCUGCUGAGUGCCAAAAACCACCUUGAGUUUAAACUUUGGCGUUUCUCCAUGUCCACUGAUGCUGUGCCAUGCUGUGCUCCUACCUUCGAGGCAGGGGGAAAGAUCCUGUUUGUUUUUGUGUGGACUGUCAACCAGGAAUUGGAACCUAAGUACCCAACCAUACCUUUGUUUAAAUCGUCAACAUAGAACUGGGUCAAGAGAGCAAUUUCACCAUAACUGCUGGACCUACAGUGUGGAAGAGCUUAGGCAGUAACAAGCACAAUUUGGGAUGUCCCUUGGAGUCCACCUCAAAGUAGAAGGGAAAGCGAGGAAACUACUCUGAAUUCAGAAUGGCAUGUUUGGGAGAAUGCACGAACUUCAGGGAACAUAUUCAGUAAGAAACCCAGCACUGCUCAUGACUUGGGACAAUGGAUAUAUCCUUGUGCAGUCUGGCAUGAUUGUGGUGACAAGAAACACCUGGUGGCAGAUUGUCUUCAAGAGGAAAGAACUCUGUGAAAAUCCAUCUUUCUCCUCUAGCACAUGGCUUAGACUCUGGGACCAGGGGAAUUACCUGCACAGCAUGUCCUGGAACCUUCCACAGCGUGCCCUUCCCAGGACAGCCAUCCAAGGCUGAUGUGUUAAC